rnacentral:rRNA from 1 species
GACAGAGGAUGCAAGCGUUAUCCGGAAUCACUGGGCGUAAAGGGCGCGUAGGCGGCCAUUCAAGUCGGAGGUGAAAGCCCAGGGCUCAACCCUGGAAUUGCCUUCGAUACUGUUUGGCUAGAGACCGGAAGAGGUAAGUGGAACUGCGAGUGUAGAGGUGAAAUUCGUAGAUAUUCGCAAGAACACCAGUGGCGAAGGCGGCUUACUGGUCCGGUUCUGACGCUGAGGCGCGAAAGCGUGGGGAGCAAACAGG